rnacentral:rRNA from 1 species
GGGAUCGGCCCGCGUCGGAUUAGGUAGUUGGGGGAGUAACGGCCCACCAAGCCGACGAUCCGUAGCUGGUUUGAGAGGAUGAUCAGCCACACUGGGACUGAGACACGGCCCAGACUCCUACGGGAGGCAGCAGUAGGGAAUCUUGCGCAAUGGGCGAAAGCCUGACGCAGCAAUGCCGCGUGGGGGACGAAUGCUUUCGGGUUGUAAACCCCUUUCAGCAGGGACGAAAUUGACGGUACCUGCAGAAGAAGCCCCGGCCAACUACGUGCCAGCAGCCGCGGUAA